rnacentral:rRNA from 1 species
AUUGAACGCUGGCGGCAUGCCUUACACAUGCAAGUCGAACGGCAGCAUGAUCUAGCUUGCUAGAUUGAUGGCGAGUGGCGAACGGGUGAGUAAUACAUCGGAACGUGCCCUGUAGUGGGGGAUAACUAGUCGAAAGAUUAGCUAAUACCGCAUACGACCUGAGGGUGAAAGUGGGGGACCGCAAGGCCUCAUGCUAUAGGAGCGGCCGAUGUCUGAUUAGCUAGUUGGUGAGGUAAAGGCUCACCAAGGCGACGAUCAGUAGCUGGUCUGAGAGGACGAUCAGCCACACUGGGACUGAGACACGGCCCAGACUCCUACGGGAGGCAGCAGUGGGGAAUUUUGGACAAUGGGCGAAAGCCUGAUCCAGCAAUGCCGCGUGUGUGAAGAAGGCCUUCGGGUUGUAAAGCACUUUUAUCCGGAAAGAAAUGGCUCUGGUUAAUACCUGGGGUCGAUGACGGUACCGGAAGAAUAAGGACCGGCUAACUACGUG